GAGUUUGAUCCUGGCUCAGGACGAACGCUGGCGGCGUGCUUAACACAUGCAAGUCGAACGAUGAUCCGGUGCUUGCACCGGGGAUUAGUGGCGAACGGGUGAGUAACACGUGAGUAACCUGCCCUUGACUCUGGGAUAAGCCUGGGAAACCGGGUCUAAUACCGGAUAUGACCUGUUACCGCAUGGUGGCGGGUGGAAAGAUUUAUUGGUUUUGGAUGGACUCGCGGCCUAUCAGCUUGUUGGUGGGGUAAUGGCCUACCAAGGCGACGACGGGUAGCCGGCCUGAGAGGGUGACCGGCCACACUGGGACUGAGACACGGCCCAGACUCCUACGGGAGGCAGCAGUGGGGAAUAUUGCACAAUGGGCGCAAGCCUGAUGCAGCGACGCCGCGUGAGGGAUGACGGCCUUCGGGUUGUAAACCUCUUUCAGCAGGGAAGAAGCGGAAGUGACGGUACCUGCAGAAGAAGCGCCGGCUAACUACGUGCCAGCAGCCGCGGUAAUACGUAGGGCGCAAGCGUUGUCCGGAAUUAUUGGGCGUAAAGAGCUCGUAGGCGGUUUGUCGCGUCUGCUGUGAAAGCCCGGGGCUCAACCCCGGGUCUGCAGUGGGUACGGGCAGACUUGAGUGCAGUAGGGGAGACUGGAAUUCCUGGUGUAGCGGUGAAAUGCGCAGAUAUCAGGAGGAACACCGAUGGCGAAGGCAGGUCUCUGGGCUGUAACUGACGCUGAGGAGCGAAAGCAUGGGGAGCGAACAGGAUUAGAUACCCUGGUAGUCCAUGCCGUAAACGUUGGGCACUAGGUGUGGGGGACAUUCCACGUUUUCCGCGCCGUAGCUAACGCAUUAAGUGCCCCGCCUGGGGAGUACGGGCCGCAAGGCUAAAACUCAAAGGAAUUGACGA
rnacentral:rRNA from 1 species